GGGACAUACACACACGUGCGCACGCACAAAUACAUUUUAGCUUAUCAUUUUUUAAAAGAGGAGUCUUACCUGAGGAUGAUCACUCCAGUCUGGAAUCCUGCUUGUUUCAAGUCUCACGUUUGCAAACUGUGUUCCUGUCAUCUUUCGGGUUAAGAGAGAGCUGUUGAUUCUCUGACGGACACUCCGCUUCCGUGGAUUGAAGCUCCACUUCAAUGGAUCUUCACUGCAGAGCCGCAGAUCAACCCCAAACAGUUUUUAGCAGAGAUUUGAUAAAUAGCAGCGUCAUUCUGGGUACCGCUAGGAUGAAGAAAAGAUACAGGCCAUGAUCCCUCUGCUGGACAAACCAGUUAUCCUGAAGGUACUAUAACUUGCGUGGGAAGAAGGAAAAGGAAGAGAGGAAAACAAGAUCAAGAGGCACAAAGGACCAGGAGCCCUGAAGACAGAGUUCAUAGGAGUGGAAGCUGAAACUACUGGC